GUCGAGAAUCUUGGGCAAUGCGCGAAAGCGUGACCCAGCAAUGCCGCGUGUAUGAUGAAGGCCCUCGGGUCGUAAAGUACUGUCUCCCGUGACGAAAUUUGACGGUAGCGGGGAAGGAAGCCACGGCUAACUACGUGCCAGCAGCCGCGGUAAUACGUAGGUGGCGAGCGUUGUUCGGAUUUAUUGGGCGUAAAGGGUCUGUAGGAGGUUUGUUAAAUACGGGGUGAAAUCCCGAAGCUCAACUUCGGAAUUGCCUUGUAGACUGACGGACUGGAGUACCGGAGAGGUAAGCGGAAUACCAGGUGUAGCGGUGGAAUGCGUAGAUAUCUGGUAGAACACCAAAAGCGAAGGCAGCUUGCUGGACGGAAACUGACUCUGAAAGACGAAAGCAUGGGGAGCAAACAGGAUUAGAAACCCCGGUAGUCC
rnacentral:rRNA from 1 species